CCUGCGCAGCUCGCACGCCAUGUGGUUUCCUUAAUUGGUUCAUUGGUUGCAUCUGGUGCAUUUCACAUAAGAGGGAAGCGGACAAUACAUUUGUGUCCUCCACUGUUUGGCAGUUUAUCGUCUCCCAAACACGGUUAAAGACUUUUGAAGUAAAGAGGAGCAUCUCAUCUGGACCUGAUGUCUAUCAUGGAUAUCUAACUGCAGUACUGUGAGUAUCCCAACUUUAACAUGAAGAUGAACUGCGAACUGUAAGUCAUUAGUUUCUCAUUACUCUUGGGCACAUUGAUGUAUGUUGGCUUCCUGGUGAGUUAACCCGUUAGCUGAAGGUUGAUCUGAUUAGUAAGGAUCUUUUAUUGGUUCAUGGGUUACUUAGGUGUUUGGUUUAUGUUGGUUUGAAUGGUUUGUUAAAAUGGUUUCAGGUUCAAAGUUAUUGUUGUAAGCUGGAGUAAUGGGUUGGGUUCUGAUGUCUUCAGUCUUCUUUCCAGCUAUUCUCCUGAGCUCUGCAUCUUCAUUACAUGAAUGUUGCUGUACUGAGGAGGGUGUGGUCUGAGUGAGCAGAGGUGCAUACUGGGAUACAGAGCUGUCUGAAGUCUACAGGUCUGUAGACACGCCCCCUCAGGGGAAACCGAGUGUUUGAGAAACCGUCGUGACGUCAGUUACAUGGACCGGAAUGUUCUUUAAGAUGGAGACAGGGAUUCAGAAGGAGAAACACCAGGGGGAGAUGAGGGGGCUCCUCAUCUCAACGACUAAAACACAACUUCAGUCUGACACAGAGAACCAUGGAACACUUUCAACAGUCCCCUCCAGGCAUCGUGACUCCUCAGGAACAGUUUCAUUUCAGAGAAGGUCUCAUUUGGGGCCAUUCCAAGAUGGAUCCUGCUCCUCAAGAGCCACCCCCCUCCACUGGAUGGUCUUCUGAACAGAUGAUCUCCUUCCUGUCCUCAGGCUGACUAAAGCUGCACCGU
ensembl:lncRNA